UGGGGAAUAUUGCACAAUGGACGCAAGCCUGAUGCAGCCAUGCCGCGUGUGUGAAGAAGGCCUUCGGGUUGUAAAGCACUUUCAGCGAGGAGGAAGGGUUCAGUGUUAAUAGCACUGUUCAUUGACGUUACUCGCAGAAGAAGCACCGGCUAACUCCGUGCCAGCAGCCGCGGUAAUACGGAGGGUGCAAGCGUUAAUCGGAAUUACUGGGCGUAAAGCGCACGCAGGCGGUUUGUUAAGUCAGAUGUGAAAUCCCCGCGCUUAACGUGGGAACUG
rnacentral:rRNA from 1 species